rnacentral:lncRNA from 1 species
GUGGAGCACGCAGGAGGAGAGAAGCUUGCAGUACAGCGGGGUCCGGGGCUCAGCCCACGGGAGCCUGCAGGACCCGAGCUGUGCCUCAGAGCCGUGCAAUGUCUGGACUCUGCCUCUGGAAUUGCAGUUCUCCAGAGUAAAAGCCACAAAGAGCACCACAGGAGGCUGCGGGAUCCGGGGAAGACCUGCUCCCCGGGAGCCCACGGAGACUUCCAGGAGCGUGGGAUCCAUGGACAGACUGACAGACAGCAAAGGCUGUAACUCAGAUCUGGCCGCUCUGUGCCAAUGACUGGCUGCGUAGCUGAACUCAGGCUUCACAUGAGCAAUGCCUGCUCUCACAUCAUUCAAGGGAGAAGCUUGCCCUGAUAGUUAUCUACCAACACCUUCCAUGCUCACACCGCACCCCUGGGUGCCCCUCGCUUCCUCUGCACAGCUGGGCGACUUCUCACCGCCGCGCUCCUUCAUUCGGCCUGCAAGUGGAGGAAGUCAAUAAUUUCCAGGAAUGAAUGGGCAUGUCUUUCUCUGGCAGAUCUCUCUCUCCAGUGGCCAAAAAGCUGAGGAAGGCGGGGAAUGCACCCACGAAGGCCUCGGGUACCACCAAACCAAGGCUAAAGGACAGGAAGAUGGCAUUGCGGGCUUUUCAUCUC